AGGACAUCUCAGCAGAAACCAUCUGGUUCUGGUGCAAGGAAGCUUUGUCCUCCCCUGCUUAUCACUGGGACUUCUGCAGUCCCUUCAGUGUGUGUUUUCAUGUAGUUUUCUCAUGUUAUUUUUGCUUCUUCCAUUUCAGUCAGUCAUGCAGUGGCACCAGAGAACUCUGCAUUUUCCUCUCUGGGCAUGGGAAAGUCCUGUUCCUUUGACUGCUUUAUGUGAAGAGCUGGCACACUCCAGUUGUUCCUGUGGUAUUUGGGAACUCAUUCUUCUCCCAGGAAAGAGAGCAGCACUUAAGCCAUUCAGACUCUCCAGCAUUAAUGGAAGUUGGUGAAGAAGGUGCUUUAGUUUUCCAGACUUCAUUGUGGUACUGAGUGAUGGCAACAAGUUCCAUUUGGUCUUGGGCUGAAUCAAAGCUCUCCACUGGAUCAGAGGCCAGAAGCCCACAAGGACAGAGGACCCCUACAGGAUUCUCCUCAGAAACAAAGCACAGCACUGCCCAGAAGCCCUCCAUGCAUUUGUGCAUCCCAUAUCCUGACAGAGCUAACUGGAAAUGUGCCAAGUGUCUCCUCUGCACCCUGGCCAGGGGAUCCCACAGCCAGUGCUGUGUGUGCUGUUCCUGCUCGUGUGCAACAGCGGGGCAGGCGCUGGGAUUCCAGCCUUGUAAAAUAAUCCAUGGAUUUCAACUGUUGCACUGUGCCAAGUUUUCAUUGGCAGCAGCCUUGGAUUUGAGCUGCCAGAACCAGAAACGCCUCUGAAGGCAAAGGACACCAGAACUCCCCCUUGGAGCCGGGAGCAGCGUCCUGCCUGUAAGCGCCCUGCCGCUGUGGGCAGUGACGGCUGCGUUACUCAGCAUCCGGCCUGGUUUCGCACCCACUGUCUGCAUCUGACUUGGAAGUGGACAUUUCCCAGUCAGGCACAGCGGCUGAGCAUCCAUCUCACCUGAUGACAUGUUUUUCCUUUAGCCAACAGUGCUGUGCAUCCAGCACAGGCUCAUUACUGUACCCAUGCAGUAGCUUUUCACUUCAGCCAGUGUGCAAAGGAAAACAAAGCCCCAGUGCAUUUCUCUCUCCAGGGAGAGCUGGAUCCUUACAGAAGCGCAGAAAUGAAAUUUGUAACGCAGCUCCAAGAUGUCCAAAGAAGAGGCGGCCACGGCACAGGCUCUCCUUCACUCAGCACUUCCCUUCCGAGUCCCUGAGUGAAAACCACCACGCUCACAGUGACCCACAUCUCACUGGUCCCUCAGUCCUGGCAUCAUCUCAGGGUAAGGAACACCUUCCACACGGACAAGCAGCUCCUCCUUGCGCUGGCUCCUGGAAAGACUGGAUGAGAAUGCAAGCUUGGAGGCAUGGCUGUAAUUAA
rnacentral:lncRNA from 1 species